UACGAAGGGGGCUAGCGUUGCUCGGAAUUACUGGGCGUAAAGGGCGCGUAGGCGGGAAGCUAAGUCCGCUGUCAAAGCCCGGGGCUUAACCCCGGAAGGUCGGUGGAGACUGGUUUUCUUGAAGCUGCCAGGGGGAGAUGGAAUUACCGGUGUAGCGGUGAAAUGCGUAGAUAUCGGUAGGAACACCAGUGGCGAAGGCGGUCUCCUGGAGCAGACUUGACGCUGAGGCGCGAAAGCUGGGGGAGCGAACAGG
rnacentral:rRNA from 1 species